GUAAAUGCCUCGAAAAGAACGAAGUAGAGAUCCUGACCCGUACAUUCAGAGAAGCGGUGGUUGCUGCAAACCGCUACGACAGGUAAUCGAAUUACAUUCUUGGAGCAGUUUUCCCUUAGCUGGGAAACCGGAGCGAUCCGUUAUAUCAAUGAAGUGAGGAAGAGAUAUCUCUUCUUAAGCUGGGUGGUACCACGCAUAAAAGCGUCCCUGCA
rnacentral:ncRNA from 1 species